GCCGCAGCACGCGGCGCCGGCAUCGAGCGAAGCAAUGAUGCAUUCGCGAGAGGGAACCCGGUGAAAAUCCGGGACUGUCCCGCAGCGGUAUGCAGGAACGACCGCCGUCAUAUAGCACUGGGCCUCACAGAUCUGAGACUGGGAAGCGACGGCCAGUAGGAGCACCCACCGGGUGCGUGCCUGUGAGUCCGAAGACCUGCCAGCUGUGCCGGGCGCGC
rnacentral:ncRNA from 2 species